ACAUGUUGCAAAAUAACAAAAAAUGUUUAUUUCUUCCUGUUUAAGAUAGCAAACAGGUUCUUAAGUAUUUACAUUCUUACAGUGGAUAAUAUAAUAGAGGUGUUUUAUAUUUCAGCAAUUCGACAGUUCAGAAUGAGUAACCCAAACACAGUGGUGGUUAUACCAAAAGUUAUAUGUCGUAGAUUUUCUACGGGAACCUUGCAAUAUAUUAAACAGACUGAAGAGAUAAAUGCUGGAAAGAGAAUUUGGGACAAAUGGGCGAAAGGAGUUUUAGUAUGUAUAAGUCUAGGAGGACUUAGUUUUUCUGCAGUUAGCACAAGAAAUCUGUAUGAUUCCAAACAGAAGUGUAAGGCAUACUGGAAUAGACGAUGAUAAUGAAUAAUUAGACACAGAGAUCUUUUAUUUAUUUCGGUGGAACCCAUCAGAUGUUGGCCAUAUGUUCAGUGAAAUUCAGAAAACCCAAGGCUUUUAGUGACACAGUAUAUAUUUAGUCAGCUGAAAUUCUACACACCUGUUUGAUAGUGAUGAAGGUGUUUUACAUGGUCAGAUGCUUCAAGUAACAUUAACAUUGUCAGAUAAAAUUCUACAGGCCUAGUGUACAGCUCAGAAGAGUUUUUCAAAAACAUAUUGCCUUGUGAAAUCAUUGAUAUUCAUGGAGGACUAGUUUUCAUGGAUUUUAAGGAUGCGACAGUCCGGGAAAGUAAAUUUCCCAUUCAUCUUGUCUUCGAAGUUUGGAAUAUACAAAUUCAUAUCUCCACAAAAAGCUGUUUUUGCAAUAACAAUAAAAUUACAUCUCAAGAAAUUAAAUGAGCCGUGCCAUGAGAAAACCAACAUAGUGGGUAUGCGACCAGCAUGGAUCCAGACCAGCCUGCGCAUCCGCGCAGUCUGGUCAGGCUCCAUGCUGUUCGCUAACAGUUUCUCCAAUUCCAAUAGGCUUUAAAAGCGAACAGCAUAGAGUCAGACCAGACUGCGCGGAUGCGCAGGCUGGUCUGGAUCCAUGCUGGUCGCAUACCCACUAUGUUGGUUUUCCAUUGGCACGGCUCAAAUGGUUUUGCAGUAUAUCGCUAGAUGACUUAUUUCUAAAACAUGCAUAUGAGGACGUUUUAUAUGAAAUACAAGGAUAUUAUUAACGUACAUGUACACAGAAUGAGAUUGUGACAGUAAAUAAGGUCUUUGAGGUUACAAGUCAAAACACAAUGUAUGUCAUGUGGAUAAGUAUAGGAGUAAGAAAAUAUGAAGUGCUGUGUACAUGUUAAAACUGGUGCUAGCUGACGGGGGGUGGGGGGGGGGGGGUGCAAGAGAUGGGGGGGAAAAGUCUUUGAAAUUGUCACAUUAUAAGGUUAUAUCUUGCAGCUUUUAAUUUAUAGAUUAUCAUGACUGUACAGUAAUGUGAUAACUGUUUCAUGAUAUCUUUGAGAUGUUUAAUGCAAUAUUUGCAUGUCAUUCAUAGAAUUUCAGCUAAGUUGACAGUGAUGAGUGAACAUCGGGGUAUUAAAAUAGUACAUGUAAGUGAUAUUUUAUUGAAAAAGUUAUGUUCUAACUAAUUAACAUUCUGUUGAAGUUUUGUCUAAACAGAUAUCUAUUUACAUGUAAUUGUUGUAGUGUUAAACUGUUGAAACAAUGCAAAAAAAUAUUUGAAAUUUUAUUAUAUAUUUUCCUAUUGUUGCAUUUGUCAUGCUUUAAAUGUUAAAUACAUGUAGGGCCUAAUGUAGGUACCAUUAAAGCCCAGUAUACUUGACAUAAUGUAUCAGAGCUUGACUGCAUCAUUACUGAAGGGAAAGAGGUUUUAAAACUGAGGUUCCAGUGUACAAACUCCAAUCUCUGAUUGGUUGUAUCUGAGCACAGAUUUAAAAUUGACCAAUGGUUGCAUUCUUAGACGUGUCUCCUAACUCAGUUAUAAUGUUGGAUCCUGAUCUCGAUCUGUCAGAUAUUGAUCACUUAUCUGUAUUCAGAUCCUAUGUUUUAUAGUACCAAAAGGAACUUCAUUUAAUAUUCUAAAGAUCCGAGUUAGAAACUUUGGUUUUUCGCAAAAUUAGCCAUUCUGUUCUGUUCUGUAUUAAUCCUUUCCCUCCUUCGUAGGAGAACCGCACUGAUGCAUAAUCCUUAUUGAAUUCUGGAAUCCCUCCACCAACACAAGUUCUCAGAUUUCAAUUUGGAGACAGUAGGACUAUAGUUAAAUUAAGCUAUAGGCCAGUUAAUUGUGUGGAUAACAAUUAGUGGAUUUUGUUGUUUGUUGGAAUUUUGCUUUAUCUGUUUUUAACUGAAAAUUUUGGAAAACUUUACCUCCUAUACCAACACAGUUUCGUUGUAAAGGAAGAAUGUUAUUUCACCUUGCUACUAUGGCUCAGACUUAACAGAAUGGAUAAAUAAUGUACCAGUUUCACUGGCAGUACUUUUUGAUUAAUGUAAAACCGUUUAAAUUUGUAGUGACAAAAUUUACGGCUUUAGUCAAAAGGCUCUUUCGUUGAUUUCACAUUUUGAAAAUAAAAGGAAUGGCAUAUGCUUUGGAAUUACAUUCAUUAAUUGACAGCUGGAGCAGGAACAUCAGUUGCCUGAAUUCACAAUAUAUUUACUUGCACGAUAUAUAGGAAGUAUAAUGGAAGCUCAUGGUUUUGUUUUCACUCAAUAUUGACAUGUUUAGGAAAAGUCAUUAUUUAUCAUGUUUCAUAGAAAUCACAUUUUAAUUGUCACCUACUUUAACAAGUAAUAUUACAUUUUGCUGUUGAAUAAAAAGUUAUAGUUGUAAAA